UACGUAGGGUCCGAGCGUUGUCCGGAAUUAUUGGGCGUAAAGGGCUCGUAGGCGGUUCGUCACGUCGGGAGUGAAAACUCGGGGCUUAACCCCGAGCCUGCUUCCGAUACGGGCAGACUAGAGGUAGGCAGGGGAGAGCGGAACUCCUGGUGUAGCGGUGGAAUGCGCAGAUAUCAGGAAGAACACCGGUGGCGAAGGCGGCCCGCUGGGACAGUGCUGACGCUGAGGCGCGACAGCGUGGGGAGCAAACAGG
rnacentral:rRNA from 1 species